rnacentral:misc_RNA from 1 species
CACGAAUACCCCAAGCGUUAUCCGGAAUUACUGGGCGUAAAGGGUCCGCAGGCGGCCUAAUUAGUCCGGCGUUAAAUCACGAGGCUUAACCUCGUGGCCGCGUCGGAAACGGUUAGGCUAGAGGAUGUGAGAGGUGCGUGGAACCGACGGUGUAGGGGUGAAAUCCGUUGAUAUCGUCGGGAACACCGAAAGCGAAGGCAACGCACUGGCACAUUUCUGACGCUCAUGGACGACAGCGUGGGGAUCAAAAAGG